GGCGUGGAUUAGGCAUGCAAGUCGAGCGCGAUAUUUUAGAAAGAUACUUCGGUUGAUUUCUAAAAUGGAAAGCGGCGAAAGGGAGAGUAACGAGUAGAUACGUACCCAGGGGUUCAGGAUAGCCAUGCGAAAGCGUGAGUAAUACCGAAUAAUGUCUCCGGACCAAAAAUUUAUUGCCCUUGGAGCGGUUUGCUUACUAUUAGCUUGUUGGUGGGGUAAAAGCCUACCAAGGCUUAGAUGGUUAGCGGGUGUGAGAGCAUGACCCGUCUCACUGGGACUGAGACACUGCCCAGACACCUACGGGUGGCUGCAGUCGAGAAUCUUCCGCAAUGGACGAAAGUCUGACGGAGCGACGCCGCGUGCUGGAUGAAGGCCCUCGGGUUGUAAACAGCUGUCGUAGGGGAGGAAAUUUUGACCGAUCCUAGGAGGAGGCACAGGCUAAGUUCGUGCCAGCAGCCGCGGUAGUACGAACUGUGCAAACGUUAUUCGGAAUCACUGGGCUUAAAGGGUGCGUAGGCGGACUUGUAGGUCAGAUGUGAAAUCCCACGGCUCAACCGUGGAAUUGCGUUUGAAACCACUCGUCUUGAGGGGAUCAGAGGAGAGCGGAACUGAUGGUGGAGCGGUGAAAUGCGUUGAUAUUAUCAGGAACACCGGUGGCGAAAGCGGCUCUCUGGGAUCUUUCUGACGCUGAGGCACGAAAGCUAGGGGAGCGAACGGGAUUAGAUACCCCGGUAGUCCUAGCUGUAAACGAUCUGUACUAGUCCGUGGGGACCCCCACAUCUUCUCGGACGUAGCGAAAGUGUUAAGUACAGCGCCUGGGGAGUAUGGUCGCAAGGCAA
rnacentral:rRNA from 1 species